AAGAAAUUAGCUCAGCGGUAGAGCUGUCGUUUUACACACGAAAGGUCAGGUGUUCGAAUCACCUAUUUCUUA
rfam:Coccidioides immitis RS mitochondrial scaffold supercont3.7, whole genome shotgun sequence.